GACGAACCGAGCGAACGUUGUUCGGAAUCACUGGGCUUAAAGGGCGCGUAGGCGGGUGCUCAAGUCCGUGGUGAAAUCCUCCGGCUCAACCGGAGAACUGCCAUGGAUACUGGGUGUCUCGAGGGUGAUAGGGGUAUGCGGAACUAUCGGUGGAGCGGUGAAAUGCGUUGACAUCGAUAGGAACUCCGGUGGCGAAGGCGGGUCUCUGGGCCGAUACUGACGCUGAGGAGCGAAAGCGUGGGGAGCGAACAGG
rnacentral:rRNA from 1 species